rnacentral:lncRNA from 1 species
AUAAUAAGCAUAAAAAGAAAUCAUAUAGGGGUAAUAUCUUAGAACAUAACUUAGAUAAACAUAAGUAACUUACAUGUUUACAAGAGAUGUGAUUUCCCUUUCGGGAAACCCGAAAAAGUUUUUGCUGAACUUCGGGAAAAACGAUCGACACCUAAGCAUACAAACUUUAUUUAUUUUACAGGCUUAGAGGAAUAACUACUAGGAUAUUCAUAAAGGGAAAUAUUUUACAAAGUGGUUUGAAAAAGAAAGUUGGUUGAUUAGGCUUUCAGAAUGUUUUUCUUCCUUUUCUCGAUGAUAUUUGGAAAGUUUUUUUGGGAUUUUUGGAAAGUUGGUUGAGGCUUUUCAGAGUGUUUUUUCUGCUUUUGCUCGAUAACCUUUCCUUCGACUUGGUCUUGCUUUUAUACCUUAUUUUUUGAGCGG